AUGGCAGAAUGCUUCAAUAAGGUGCUCAAGGGUGUACGUGCAUUACCCGUGACGGCAAUAGUUCAAUACACAUUUGACAAGAUGAAUGCAUACCUUUUAAAGUACUCAAUGGAGACGAAUAACUAGAUUGCUGGUGACAACAAGGAAAAGCACAAGUACAAUUUCUCACCAAAGGUUGAAGAAUGGUUGGAAUUUCAACCACGGAAGGCGGACUCCCAAGAAGCUGUACUAUAUGACAACAACGAUUGGAUGUAUGAAGUGAAAGAGCCUGGAGGAACCACAAAUGAUGGCCACCAACACGGAGGCUGGGUUUUCAAUUUGUCCCUAACACGGUGUGAUUGCACUUGCAUGAGGCCAGUUCUUCAUCUCCAAUGCUCGCACUUGUUAAAUGCAUCUUGUGUUAGGAAUGUGGACGUAAAUCACCCUCUUACUGUGCGGGAGUACGAGUACUCAAUCAUGACGGUAAAAAUUACAUGCACCACUGCAGGAUGCUGCUAA
rnacentral:rRNA from 1 species